rnacentral:lncRNA from 1 species
UUCAAUACACAACUUCUUAACAGUCUCAUAGACAAUCACUAGUUCAUCUCUAGCAUCAUCUAUCCACACGUUACACAGCCUCUCACUGACCGAGCCUUCACGGCUCCUUGGCUUGACCAGGACCAUCCUUAGUUCCUGAAACCACAACCAGAUAAGCAUUAAUCAUAACCGAGAAUAGAACAGAUUGAUUCUACCAUGCUUGGCUUGGUUCCUAGAACUUAGAUAAACCUCAGUCAACAUAAUCACAAAAACGUAUGAACCUACCUACCGUAUCCUAAGUCAUACAACCAACCACCCCUUGACUUAGAAUC